AUGGUUCAUUAUGUUUUGUUUUUUUUUUUCCCUCACCAGGUCUGCUGCUUGAAUCCCCCCCCCAAACAUCUACGCUUGUCACCUGCGCAGCUGCUUGUUUGGUUUUGCAGUGACUGGAGGUCUGCCUUACUCUGGGCUGAAACACAACAAAGCUCUUGGAAGCAUUCUGCAAAACCAGUAGCUGUUUUGGGGUUUGCAAUACCCCCCCCCCCUUUUUUUUUUCUCAUCAGUGAAUAUAACGAUUCGUGUUUAUUUUCUCCUUUGGGCCACCUUCCUUCUCUCUCAUGUGGACAAGAAUUUUGUUUGAGCCCUGUUGUCCCCAGGUCUUCUUUCCUUCUCCCCAGGUGCCUCCCCUCCGCAGUCCCAAGCCAAGAAAAUCCCAUUACAAACCCAACAGGCACUGGAGCAGGCAGACCACUCGGAAACAGAGAGGAGCUUCCACGACUGACCACAGGAGUUACGAAUCACCCCUCUUUCAAGAAGGCCUAA
rnacentral:lncRNA from 1 species